GGGUCACCACAACAUGAACUGUAUUAAAGGGCCACGGCAUUAGGAAGGUUGAGAACCACUUAAGUAUCCACUCAGUCACUCCACACAUGUUGCCUUCUAAAAAAUGCUCUGAAAUAAUACCCAAUUUUUUGAAAUUAAUGUGGCAUUGCAAAUGAUCACCUCCCUGCGUAUCAGAAACCAAUUGCGAACGAUGGCCAGAAUAUUGAUUUGGUUUUGCUGUCUAUAUAGUUGCUGUGGGGACUGAUGGACUGUCAAAAGGUUAAUGUAAGGAUAAAAUUCAUUUUAUAGAAGCUAUAGUUUGAAUUAACUUGUCUAGUGAAAUCAUUGUUUUGUUACUCCGGUGUUCUCUUCCUUUUGUUCCAUAGCUGUCAUGGAUUUAGUCAAGUUUAUACUCCUACCUUCUUUGUUGCCCUUUGGCUACAAUCUAUUAUCCAGGAAGUAGUAGUACAAUAUCAGUGGUGGCUACAAGAAGUCAUCAUAUGGCUUGCCAUGGAUAUAGCAAGAUGGACCAGGGAGGAGAGGAUUGGAGACUUGGAGACAGAGAAAGCAUACUUCUUGUGGGCCACACAGUGAUCGGGAAAUACCCCAAGACUACCUUCUUGCUCAAUGGAAUACUACGCUUUGAGGCUCUUCUUCCAAAAAGAUCACCCUGCCUCCAUCCUCUGGUAUCAAUUACUUUUGUACAAGAAUUUCCAUUAAAUGAUGUAUCAUAAUGCCAUGGUAUUGUCAUUAUAAUUAGGAGACUUACAUUUAGGUCCUUAUCCUGAGAUUUGCUAGCUAUAUGACUAUGCAAAUUCCCUAACUUCUCUGGGCUUCAGUUUCCCCUUCUGUAAUAGUACCCAUGCCACAUAUACAUUUUAACAUUUAAGUGAAAUAAUGCGUUAGAAUUACUUUGUAAAUUACUCUAGAGAUAGAAGGUAUUUUUAUACCUCUGCCCAUGGUGCAGAAAAGGUGUUUGAUACAGAGGCUCACCCUGGGACAAGUGGUAAGACAUUUCUGGAGUCAAGUAUCACUGGCCUUAAAUCCAGGCUCACAGCAUUGGGCCCAAGGGGUACCACUGCCAUCUCCAUCAUGGUACAGACAAUGUUAGCCUCACUGGAUUAAGAAAUAGUGGCAUGCUAAUGGGUAAUGAGUGCAUGAAAAGACACUCAACAACAUUAGCUAUUAAGGAAAUGUAAGUAUAAGCUGCAAUGAUAUACCACUUUACACCUACUAGCCUGGCUAUAAUGAAAAAGACAAACAAUAACAAGUGCUGACAAGGAUGUGUUGACACAGGGACCCUCAUAUAUUGUUGACUGAAAUGUAAAAUGGUCCAGCCACUUGAGCAACACUGUGUAAGUUAUCCAAAAAGGUAAUCAUAGAGUUACUAUAUGAACCAGCAAUUCUACUCCUAUGGCUCUACCCAAGAGAAAUGAAAAUGAACAAAAACUUAUACCUUAAUGUUCAUAGGAGCAUUAUUCUCAAUAGCUAAAAAGUAGAAACAUUGUCAACAUCAGUAGACAUUGAUGAAUGGGUAAACAAAUAUGUUAUAUUCACACAAUGGAAUAUUAUUCUGCAGUAAAAAGGAAUAUGAACGCAUGCUCCAACAUGGACACACCUUGAUAACAUGCUAAGUGAAAGGAGCCAGUCUACAUAUGGUAUGAUUCCAUUUAUAUUAAAGGUCCAAAUCUUUAGAGACAGAAAGUAGACUAGUAGUUGUCUAGAGCUUCUAUGUGGGAGGGAGAUGGGGAGUGACUCUUAGUGGAUACUAAGGCUCCUUUGGGGAUGAUGAAAUGUUCUAAAAUUUGAUUAUGGUGAUGGUUGCAUAACUCUGGAAGUGUUCUAAAACCAC